rnacentral:rRNA from 1 species
CAAGUGACGUACUGCAGAAGAAGCGCCGGCUAACUACGUGCCAGCAGCGCGGUAAUACGUAGGGCGCCAAGCGUGUCCCGAAAUUAUUGGGCGUAAAGAGCUCGUAGGCGGUUUGUCGCGUCUGCUGUGAAAGCCCGGGGCUUAACCCCGGGUGUGCAGUGGGUACGGGCAGACUAGAGUGCAGUAGGGGAGACUGGAAUUCCUGGUGUAGCGGUGGAAUGCGCAGAUAUCAGGAGGAACACCGAUGGCGAAGGCAGGUCUCUGGGCUGUUACUGACGCUGAGGAGCGAAAGCAUGGGGAGCGAACAGGAUUAGAUACCCUGGUAGUCCAUGCCGUAAACGUUGGGCACUAGGUGUGGGGGACAUUCCACGUUUUCCGCGCCGUAGCUAACGCAUUAAGUGCCCCGCCUGGGGAGUACGGCCGCAAGGCUAAAACUCAAAGGAAUUGACGGGGGCCCGCACAAGCGGCGGAGCAUGCGGAUUAAUUCGAUGCAACGCGAAGAACCUUACCAAGGCUUGACAUAUACCGGAUCGUUCCAGAGAUGGUUCUUCCCCUUUGGGGUCGGUAUACAGGUGGUGCAUGGUUGUCGUCAGCUCGUGUCGUGAGAUGUUGGGUUAAGUCCCGCAACGAGCGCAACCCUCGUUCCAUGUUGCCAGCACGUGAUGGUGGGGACUCAUGGGAGACUGCCGGGGUCAACUCGGAGGAAGGUGGGGAUGACGUCAAAUCAUCAUGCCCCUUAUGUCUUGGGCUUCACGCAUGCUACAAUGGCCGGUACAAAGGGUUGCGAUACUGUGAGGUGGAGCUAAUCCCAAAAAGCCGGUCUCAGUUCGGAUUGAGGUCUGCAACUCGACCUCAUGAAGUCGGAGUCGCUAGUAAUCGCAGAUCAGCAACGCUGCGGUGAAUACGUUCCCGGGCCUUGUACACACCGCCCGUCAAGUCACGAAAGUCGGUAACACCCGAAGCCGGUGGCCCAACCCUUGUGGAGGGAGCCGUCCGAA